AGUGAACGCUAGUGGCGUGCUUAACACAUGCAAGUCGAACGGACGAUAUUUGUGCUUGCACAAAUAAAGUUAGUGGCAAACGGGUGAGUAAUACAUGAGAAUUUUCCUUGCAGUACGGAAUAACUAUUGGAAACAGUAGCUAAUACCGUAUAUUGCCGAGAGGUGAAAGAUUUAUCGCUGCAAGAUAAGCCCAUGCAAGAUUAGCUUGUUGGUAAGGUAAUGGCUUACCAAGGCUACGAUCUUUAGCUGGUUUGAGAGGAUGAUCAGUCACACUGGAACUGAGACACGGUCCAGACUCCUACGGGAGGCAGCAGUGGGGAAUUUUCCGCAAUGGGCGAAAGCCUGACGGAGCAAUACCGCGUGAGGGAUGAAGGCUUACUGAGUUGUAAACCUCUUUUUUCAAGGAAGAAGUUCUGACGUUACUUGAAGAAUAAGCAUCGGCUAACUCCGUGCCAGCCGCCGCCGUAAUAC
rnacentral:rRNA from 1 species